rnacentral:lncRNA from 1 species
CGGAUAUAAAUAACCCUCAUCAACACCAAACCCUAACCCUAACCGCUAGAACUCCUCGCUGGAGAAGAAGACCCAGCUGGUGGGAAGGAGACCGCCCCCACCCACCGCCGCGCCGGAGCCCUUUUCGACUGCCAAAAUAUGUGAAACUUUUCCCUCUUGCACAAAAUUUAAUUUUAAACACACCUAUGGCAAAAUCAAAGCAAAAAGACCGGCUAAUUAGUCGAAAAAUGUGGGCAAAGUCCGAUGAUGCUGCCGCCGAGAAUUCCACAAAACGCCUUUGAUGAGGCCUUUCUUUAUUCCCAUUUUGUAUAAUUUUUUCACCGUUGUGAUCACCAUUUCCUUCUCUACAGGUUAACUGGAGCAAAACAUCCAACCGCAACGUGAGCCGGAGGAGCCACCGCACCGAAGAGCCCCACCGCCAGUGAGUUUCAAUUUGUUUUGUAUUUUUUUCAGCCAACCGAGGCCCCUUAACAUGUUUUCUUGCAGGAAUUGAUGCAAAAUCAGUCAAAAACGGUCGCAAAUAGCAGACCUGAGGCUGACCGCCGUCGCGAGCGGCGGAGCCGCCGUGCCAAAAUUCUGAAAUUGGCCAAAGUGGGCCCUAACACUGAUUUUAGAUUUGUUUAGGACAUUUGUUGGUACUUAUAGCGCGUUUUGAUUCCCA